rnacentral:rRNA from 1 species
AGUCGAGCGGACAGAUGGGAGCUUGCUCCCUGAUGUUAGCGGCGGAGGGAGAGAAACACGUGGGUAACCUGCCUGUAAGACUGGGAUAACUCCGGGAAACCGGGGCUAAUACCGGAUGGUUGUUUGAACCGCAUGGUUCAAACAUAAAAGGUGGCUUCGGCUACCACUUACAGAUGGACCCGCGGCGCAUUAGCUAGUUGGUGAGGUAACGGCUCACCAAGGCAACGAUGCGUAGCCGACCUGAGAGGGUGAUCGGCCACACUGGGACUGAGACACGGCCCAGACUCCUACGGGAGGCAGCAGUAGGGAAUCUUCCGCAAUGGACGAAAGUCUGACGGAGCAACGCCGCGUGAGUGAUGAAGGUUUUCGGAUCGUAAAGCUCUGUUGUUAGGGAAGAACAAGUACCGUUCGAAUAGGGCGGUACCUUGACGGUACCUAACCAUAAAGCCACGGCUAACUACGUGCCAGCAGCCCCGGUAAUACGUAGGUGGCAAGCGUUGUCCGGAAUUAUUGGGCGUAAAGGGCUCGCAGGCGGUUUCUUAAGUCUGAUGUGAAAGCCCCCGGCUCAACCGGGGAGGGUCAUUGGAAACUGGGGAACUUGAGUGCAGAAGAGGAGAGUGGAAUUCCACGUGUAGCGGUGAAAUGCGUAGAGAUGUGGAGGAACACCAGUGGCGAAGGCGACUCUCUGGUCUGUAACUGACGCUGAGGAGCGAAAGCGUGCGGAGCGAACAGUAUUAGAUACCCUGGUAGUCCACGCCGUAAACGAUGAGUGCUAAGUGUUAGGGGGUUUCCGCCCCUUAGUGCUGCAGCUUAUCGCAUUAUGCACUCCGCCUGGGGGAGGUACGGUCGCAAGACUGAACUCAAAGGAAUUGACGGGGGCCCGCACAACCGGUGGAGCAAUGUGGUUUAAUUCAAACCAGCGCGAAGAACCUACCGGGUCUUGACAUCCCUCUGACAAUCCUAGAUAUUAGGAACGUCCCCCUUCGGGGGGGAGAAUGGACCUGGUGGUG